rnacentral:misc_RNA from 1 species
AAGUCGUAACAAGGUUUCCGUAGGUGAACCUGCGGAAGGAUCAUUAAAACGUAUCCAACGUUAACCAACUGUGAACUCGUUUCCUCCCUUGGCUAAAAGAAAUUGGAGCUGUAAUCGACAUUGAGUGGGAUCUGUCAAAGGAUCGGUCGAUCGUAGUCACUGACAUCUUCGGGUGUCGACAAGAGUAUUUUAGUUGAGGCUUUUCUUCUUGCUGGUGCCCUCCAUUCAAAGGCGCAAGCAAGGGGAGUCAUCUUGAAUCACCAUUUUCACCCCCUUUUUGCUAGUUGACUUUUUUAAUGUUAGUUCUUUACGAAAGUAAGAAUUACACGUUUCUUUAUUUGAACGUAAAAUACAACUCUUAGCAAUGGAUAUCUAGGUUCUC